UGAUAUUGGUUGUCCUAUUUAACAUCAUACUUUCAGUUUCGAUAGUAACCUUUUUUUAGGUUCAACCAGAGUUAUAAAUCUAGUAUUAAAGUUAACCCGAUUUUUUGGUUUGCCUUUUCUUGGUUUGUUGUUUUGUUAGUUUUAUAUAAUUCUGACGCGGGAAAAAAGCAGAUUACAGUAUUGUAUUGAAUUAAUGAUGAUUGGCAGGUUAAAAUAAACUGUCAAUUGACAAAUAUAAAAAAAACUGAUCAACUUUCAUCACAGUCCAUAUUGAGUAAAAAAUUGAUUGAUCAUUCCUUGUGUUGUCAAGAUUUUAUACUCAACAAAAAGGAUCGCUCAUUAUGUAUCUUUUAUGUGCUUAUUUUUUGUGAGUGUUAUAAAUGUUUUUAACCUUGUGCUUAUGAAUUUCAAGUUCAAUAAUGUGUCAUUUUCAUCAUACAGUUUGAUAGUCAUCUGGUUAAUUGGGUAAUUCAGAGCCAACAAAAACUAACCUCAACAAAUUUGAGCAUUUGGCAAGUGUUCAAUUGUGGAGUCAACUGCAAACGAUACUAAAAUCUUAAUGCGUUAACAUUCAAUGGAUUAGACAACAACAUUCCUUGCGAUUCUAUGAUAGCUGACCUUUUCCAGAUAUUUUAUUGUUAUUUUUUUUCUUUACCAUUUCAUGGGAUUUCAAGUAAAUCACCUAUUAAUUGUGAUUCGAUAGAUUUUAACCAAAUAUAUGUCAAUCAAUGUUUUACUCGAUAACUAAUCGAUUGCUGUCUUUUCAUGUUUUCCGGUAACACUUGUAUGUUAUUAAGUAUUUUUGAGUGAAAAACAAAUCAACAAAUUGGUUUGUUUGAUUCUUAUGCAGUUUAAUCAUUGAGUACAUAAAUCUAUUGAUUACAUCUUAAUAUACAUUUACACACAUUCACAAAUACACUAACAGUAAUCAAUAAAGCUCAGUUGUUAUAAAGGUUAUUAGCUAUAAUGUAAGCUUGAUAAAUGAUAAAAUGAUGGAGUAAACCUUUAACAGUUAAGGUAAAUCAAUUUCAAUUUGUACAUUCCUUUCCAUCUCACCUAUCCCUUGAUUUUUGUAAUUAACUGUUAAUAGUACAGCUUGAUUAAGUGAAACGUUACAUUAGUGAAAAUCUGACGAGAAAGGUAUAAAAGGUAUCCAAUUGAUGUUCAAAUGAAAGCUAUCCUUUUGCUUUCAAAACAGGGUUAUGGGUAGAUGAUUGUUAAUUUUUAAUUUUUACAGCCAAUAGAAGAUGAUUAACAGCCAGUUUAAAGGUAAAGCUAAUCCCAAUUCACUUGUUUACCAGAAAAGGCUCAAUGGCAACAUCUGUCAACAUAUUUAAAUUCAAUGUUGGCAAAUUAUCAAGAUUUAGUUUUCAUCAUACAUUUCUAGGGCAACCUCGGAAAUAAUCAUCAAGAUAAAUCAGCAAUAGGAACCAUCAUGAUUAUGAGAGACAAGCGAGAUUAAAUGAAACUCAACAACAAGCCUCUUAAAGAUAACAUCAGGCAUUGCUUUGGUUUUUCAAGUUGACGGUUAAAAUGGUCUUUCCAUAUGCUUCUUAAUUUUGCUCAAUCUAAUUUCAAUUUGCAUGUUUAUUAAUCAUGGUGGUUAUUCAAGGUAAUCUGAGAGACAGUCACCAAGCAAUCACCUUAAUCUUGGAAUGGUUACCUUGCAAAUAACAGAAAAAAAAGGUUCACGUGUUUCAUCCUGAAUCCUCUUUUAUUAAUGGUUUGUCUACCUGUUAACCGUCAUUACAAUUUACGUGGGUAAUAAUUGUAAAUGCCAAAGCACCCAAUAAUGUUCACUAUUAAUGUUAAUCACUCCGAAGUCAACCAAUAUUCCCAGAAAAGCCGAAAAUUAUCAAAGAUUGAAAUCAA